UUUUAUGGAGAGUUUGAUCCUGGCUCAGGAUGAACGCUGGCGGCGUGCCUAAUACAUGCAAGUCGAGCGAACAGACGAGGAGCUUGCUCCUUUGACGUUAGCGGCGGACGGGUGAGUAACACGUAGGUAACCUACCUAUAAGACUGGGAUAACUUCGGGAAACCGGAGCUAAUACCGGAUAAUAUUUCGAACCGCAUGGUUCGAUAGUGAAAGAUGGCUUUGCUAUCACUUAUAGAUGGACCUGCGCCGUAUUAGCUAGUUGGUAAGGUAACGGCUUACCAAGGCAACGAUACGUAGCCGACCUGAGAGGGUGAUCGGCCACACUGGAACUGAGACACGGUCCAGACUCCUACGGGAGGCAGCAGUAGGGAAUCUUCCGCAAUGGGCGAAAGCCUGACGGAGCAACGC
rnacentral:rRNA from 1 species